AUUGAACGCUGGCGGCAGGCCUAACACAUGCAAGUCGAACGGUAACAGAAAGCAGCUUGCUGCUUUGCUGACGAGUGGCGGACGGGUGAGUAAUGUCUGGGAAACUGCCUGAUGGAGGGGGAUAACUACUGAAACGGUAGCUAAUACCGCAUAACGUCGCAAGACCAAAGAGGGGGAACUUUGGGCCUCUUGCCAUCGGAUGUGCCCAGAUGGGAUUAGCUAGUAGGUGGGGUAAAGGCUCACCUAGGCGACGAUCCCUAGCUGGUCUGAGAGGAUGACCAGCCACACUGGAACUGAGACACGGUCCAGACUCCUACGGGAGGCAGCAGUGGGGAAUAUUGCACAAUGGGCGCAAGCCUGAUGCAGCCAUGCCGCGUGUGUGAAGAAGGCCUUCGGGUUGUAAAGUACUUUCAGCGGGGAGGAAGGGAGUAAAGUUAAUACCUUUGCUCAUUGACGUUACCCGCAGAAGAAGCACCGGCUAACUCCGUG
rnacentral:rRNA from 1 species